rnacentral:lncRNA from 1 species
ACUACAGGUGUUCCCCAUUACUACUAUUUCCUCUUUGUCCGUGAAGCUGUCUCCAGGAAGUAUGAAGAAAUAACCCCAAAAGCGGAAGAACAAAGUUACCAAAGCCCCUGUCAGUGAUCAGCGUCCCUGUCACCUCGCAUUUACAGAGUUGCUGGCCCUCGGAGAGAGGGGAGAGCUGGGCACUGUGACUGGGGCUCUGACCCUUUCACAGCCGACCGUCCUGCCCAGGACCCUGCCUGGCACCCACAGGGAAGGAGAGGCUGUGCUCACCUGCCUGCUGGCGGUACAGCUGUGCUGUCUUCGGAGAGGCUGGCUCUGACCCUGGCCAGGUCGUGGUGACCGUCCCCCGUCCUGAGCCUGGAAGGCCCCUGGAGUCUCGGACUUCCUAGGAGCAAACACAGCUGCUCCAAGGCCUUUGGGAGGGCUCCGCCCAGCACAGCAGCCCCUCUACUUGC